rnacentral:rRNA from 1 species
GCCAUGCAUGUCUAAGUAUAAGCAAUUAUACGGCGAAACUGCGAAUGGCUCAUUAAAUCAGUUAUUGUUUAUUUGAUAGUACCUUACUACUUGGAUAACCGUGGUAAUUCUAGAGCUAAUACAUGCUAAAAACCCCGACUUCAGGGAGGGGUGUAUUUAUUAGAUUAAAAACCAAUGCCCUUCGGGGCUUCUUGGUGAUUCAUGAUAACUUCUCGGAUCGCACGGCCUUGCGCCGGCGACGGUUCAUUCAAAUUUCUGCCCUAUCAACUUUCGACGGCUGGGUAUUGGCCAGCCGUGGUGACAACGGGUAACGGAGGGUUAGGGCUCGACCCCGGAGAAAACGCCUGAGAAACGGCGUUUACAUCCAAGGAAGGCAGCAGGCGCGCAAAUUACCCAAUGCCGACUCGGCGAGGUAGUGACGAUAAAUACUGGUACGGGGCUCUUUCGGGUCUCGUAACUGGAAUGAGUACAAUUUAAAUCCCUUAACGAGGAACAAUUGGAGGGCAAGUCUGGUGCCAGCAGCCGCGGUAAUUCCAGCUCCAAUAGCGUAUAUUAAAAUUGUUGAGAUUAAAAAGCUCGUAGUUGAACCUUGGGCCUGGCUGGCCGGUCCGCCUCACCGCGUGCACUGGUCCGGCCGGGCCUUUCCCUCCGGGGAACCCCAUGCCCUUCACUGGGCGUGGCGGGGAACCGGGACUUUUACUUUGAAAAAAUUAGAGUGUUCAAAGCAGGCCUAUGCUCGGAUACAUUAGCAUGGAAUAAUAGAAUAGGACGUGUGGUUCUAUUUUGUUGGUUUCUAGGACCGCCGUAAUGAUUAAUAGGGACAGUCGGGGGCGUCAGUAUUCAAUUGUCAGAGGUGAAAUUCUUGGAUUUAUUGAAGACUAACUACUGCGAAGGCAUUCGUCAAGGAUGUUUUCAUUAAUCAGGAACGAAAGUUAGGGGAUCGAAGACGAUCAGAUACCGUCGUAGUCUUAACCGUAAACUAUUAAGUCUAGGGAUCGGACGGUGGUUCUAUUUGCCCCGUCCGGCACCUUACACGAAAGUAUAAGAGCUUAUUCUGGGGAAAUACGGUAGCAAU